GUCUCUCAGGGAUUCUAAAGGAAGGAGCAUGUUCAACGGUAGUUGGAGCAGCAGCUCAACUUCUCCCAGGUGCAAGUAGAACUUGUGACAUGUGUUAUGCAGGCUGGUAUGGACGAGACAGACUUGGAUGGGGCACUUACUGGUUUUGUGGUUGUAGUUCCUAUGGAGCCUGGAAAGGCUGAGUGUGGAAACGAGGCAUGUACCGAAGCGAUUGCGACAACACAGGCGAAGAUUCCUAAGAGCUUCAGUGAAGAUAGUGAAGACCCUCAACAAGAGAGGAAAGGCAACCAGUUGAACAUGGAAGGCAGUCUGAUUUUCUUCCUCCACAUGUGGGCAUUCUGCAGCAUGUACACAUGCGAGAACAUUAGUGCUCUCCGCCAUGACGAUUGCAAAGGCCCUCAACAAGCGGUCAGUGCUGGUGAUCAUGGGGCUCUACCUUUGUACUGUGGAACAAGAGAGGAAGCAUGUGUGUUGCCACCGGUGCAGGAUAACGAGGAGGUAUAGAUGCUAGCCAGAGGUCCUGAUUCAUCACUUGUAAGCUGGAAGACAAGGAGACGUCACCAUGUGCUUUGGUCCAGCUGCUUUCUCAUGCAGCAGCCAAAACUUAAGUCCAUUGAGUCUUAGCUUUAUGAGGCUCUGAGCUGUAAUGAUGAUCAAUAGUUGGGUCUGAAUCGUCUUCUGUCAUUUCAACCCCAAAGAUGAUAGAAUCAACUGCCGAUUUAGCAAAGAGCUAUUGAAGAGGAGUUAGCAAAGAGGGAAGCCCUUAUUGAGGACUUAGAUUGUGGUCAGCUUGAACGCUUUGUGUUCUCUGAUCUAGCACUUUCCAUGUUUAAAUACAUGCUCUUUUGAUUGCGUGAAGGCCUGUAGAGUUCCAUGGUGCUGCAGCGUGGAGUGGAUUUAAGUCAAAACCGUCCUACAACUGCAGUGUGGAGUGGGAUACCGAGGAGACCAGGAUGGUGCACGGAUCCUCAUCUACCACCAUGUGACGUGUUUGUUGAAAUUAUGGCUCCAACCUUCUAGAGAGAUGCAUGGAGAUGUGUAUGGCAUAUGAUUAUGGUAAAUCAUAAUCCCGUCCUUUUCUACAUGGCCGGGUUCUAGAUUUUGCUCUGGAAAUGUUUGGAGGUAUGAACCACAAGCCCUUGUCGAUUAGGAGCAGCAGGGGCGUUGCAGCAGGCCGAUUCAAAGCUUCCCUAUUGGUGGAAAGCUUGAGAUAGCGGUUUGUCGGCUUGCAUUUGAGAGUAUGCCGCUUUACCGCAGAUCGAUGAAUGCAAAUCAUUUUUUGGCGUCUUUGAUGGGCAUGGAGGACAAUAAUGAGGAGCAGAUGUCAUACCAUGAACGUGUAGCUGCUUCUUGCAGCCCAAUGCAUCGCUUGGAAGCUGAAGACACUCGGGGACAAGGAGACGUCGUCAAAUGCGUACCCCAGGAGCAUGAUUGCAAUGUGUUAGCAGACAUGGUUUGAGAUGAAAUAUAGCUAUCCUAGGAUUGAUUGCAAAAACAUCUCUUCAGUGCACCAGCAGCUUUCCUUGAUGUUCGUUGUUCGGUGUUGUGGGAUUGUUGUUUGGCGAUGUAUAUUUGUGUGUCUGAAUGUCAUUUGAGAUCUGUGCUUUAUGCACUUCAGUAUUUAUUGAAGUAUACUACUACGUC